rnacentral:rRNA from 1 species
AAGGUUAAGCCUCACGGUUCAUUAGUACCGGUUAGCUCAACGCAUCGCUGCGCUUACACACCCGGCCUAUCAACGUCGUCGUCUUCAACGUUCCUUCAGGACUCUCAAGGAGUCAGGGAGAACUCAUCUCGGGGCAAGUUUCGUGCUUAGAUGCUUUCAGCACUUAUCUCUUCCGCAUUUAGCUACCGGGCAGUGCCAUUGGCAUGACAACCCGAACACCAGUGAUGCGUCCACUCCGGUCCUCUCGUACUAGGAGCAGCCCCCCUCAGUUCUCCAGCGCCCACGGCAGAUAGGGACCGAACUGUCUCACGACGUUCUAAACCCAGCUCGCGUACCACUUUAAAUGGCGAACAGCCAUACCCUUGGGACCUACUUCAGCCCCAGGAUGUGAUGAGCCGACAUCGAGGUGCCAAACACCGCCGUCGAUAUGAACUCUUGGGCGGUAUCAGCCUGUUAUCCCCGGAGUACCUUUUAUCCGUUGAGCGAUGGCCCUUCCAUUCAGAACCACCGGAUCACUAUGACCUGCUUUCGCACCUGCUCGCGCCGUCACGCUCGCAGUCAAGCUGGCUUAUGCCAUUGCACUAACCUCCUGAUGUCCGACCAGGAUUAGCCAACCUUCGUGCUCCUCCGUUACUCUUUAGGAGGAGACCGCCCCAGUCAAACUACCCACCAGACACUGUCCGCAACCCGGAUCACGGGUCAACGUUAGAACAUCAAACAUUAAAGGGUGGUAUUUCAAGGUCGGCUCCAUGCAGACUGGCGUCCACACUUCAAAGCCUCCCACCUAUCCUACACAUCAAGGCUCAAUGUUCAGUGUCAAGCUAUAGUAAAGGUUCACGGGGUCUUUCCGUCUUGCCGCGGGUACACUGCAUCUUCACAGCGAGUUCAAUUUCACUGAGUCUCGGGUGGAGACAGCCUGGCCAUCAUUACGCCAUUCGUGCAGGUCGGAACUUACCCGACAAGGAAUUUCGCUACCUUAGGACCGUUAUAGUUACGGCCGCCGUUUACCGGGGCUUCGAUCAAGAGCUUCGCUUGCGCUGACCCCAUCAAUUAACCUUCCGGCACCGGGCAGGCGUCACACCGUAUACGUCCACUUUCGUGUUUGCACAGUGCUGUGUUUUUAAUAAACAGUUGCAGCCAGCUGGUAUCUUCGACUGAUUUCAGCUCCACGAGCAAGUCGCUUCACCUACAUAUCAGCGUGCCUUCUCCCGAAGUUACGGCACCAUUUUGCCUAGUUCCUUCACCCGAGUUCUCUCAAGCGCCUUGGUAUUCUCUACCUGACCACCUGUGUCGGUUUGGGGUACGAUUUGAUGUUACCUGAUGCUUAGAGGCUUUUCCUGGAAGCAGGGCAUUUGUUGCUUCAGCACCGUAGUGCCUCGUCAUCACGCCUCAGCCUUAGUUUUCCGGAUUUGCCUGGAAAACCAGCCUACACGCUUAAACCGGGACAACCGUCGCCCGGCCAACAUAGCCUUCUCCGUCCCCCCUUCGCAGUAACACCAAGUACAGGAAUAUUAACCUGUUUCCCAUCGACUACGCCUUUCGGCCUCGCCUUAGGGGUCGACUCACCCUGCCCCGAUUAACGUUGGACAGGAACCCUUGGUCUUCCGGCGAGCGGGCUUUUCACCCGCUUUAUCGUUACUUAUGUCAGCAUUCGCACUUCUGAUACCUCCAGCAUGCCUCACAGCACACCUUCGCAGGCUUACAGAACGCUCCCCUACCCAACAACGCAUAAGCGUCGCUGCCGCAGCUUCGGUGCAUGGUUUAGCCCCGUUACAUCUUCCGCGCAGGCCGACUCGACCAGUGAGCUAUUACGCUUUCUUUAAAUGAUGGCUGCUUCUAAGCCAACAUCCUGGCUGUCUGGGCCUUCCCACAUCGUUUCCCACUUAACCAUGACUUUGGGACCUUAGCUGGCGGUCUGGGUUGUUUCCCUCUUCACGACGGACGUUAGCACCCGCCGUGUGUCUCCCGUGAUAACAUUCUCCGGUAUUCGCAGUUUGCAUCGGGUUGGUAAGUCGGGAUGACCCCCUUGCCGAAACAGUGCUCUACCCCCGGAGAUGAAUUCACGAGGCGCUACCUAAAUAGCUUUCGGGGAGAACCAGCUAUCUCCCGGUUUGAUUGGCCUUUCACCCCCAGCCACAAGUCAUCCGCUAAUUUUUCAACAUUAGUCGGUUCGGUCCUCCAGAUAGUGUUACCCAACCUUCAACCUGCCCAUGGCUAGAUCACCGGGUUUCGGGUCUAUACCCUGCAACUUAACGCCCAGUUAAGACUCGGUUUCCCUUCGGCUCCCCUAUUCGGUUAACCUUGCUACAGAAUAUAAGUCGCUGACCCAUUAUACAAAAGGUACGCAGUCACACAGAUUGCUCUGUGCUCCCACUGCUUGUACGUACACGGUUUCAGGUUCUUUUUCACUCCCCUCGCAGGGGUUCUUUUCGCCUUUCCCUCACGGUACUGGUUCACUAUCGGUCAGUCAGGAGUAUUUAGCCUUGGAGGAUGGUCCCCCCAUAUUCAGACAGGAUACCACGUGUCCCGCCCUACUCAUCGAGCUCACAGUAUGUGCAUUUUUGUGUACGGGGCUGUCACCCUGUAUCGCGCGCCUUUCCAGACGCUUCCACUAACACACACACUGAUUCAGGCUCUGGGCUGCUCCCCGUUCGCUCGCCGCUACUGGGGGAAUCUCGGUUGAUUUCUUUUCCUCGGGGUACUUAGAUGUUUCAGUUCCCCCGGUUCGCCUCAUUAACCUAUGGAUUCAGUUAAUGAUAGUGUGACGAAUCACACUGGGUUUCCCCAUUCGGAAAUCGCCGGUUAUAACGGUUCAUAUCACCUUACCGACGCUUAUCGCAGAUUAGCACGUCCUUCAUCGCCUCUGACUGCCAAGGCAUCCACCGUGUACGCUUAGUCGCUUAA